UUGAUGGCCUCAACUUUGCUUGCAUCUGCAGUAAUACCAUUUAUGCUAACAACAUGACCCAAGAAUGUAAUCUCCUUAAGGCAAAACUUGCUCUUUUUCAGGUUGAUAGUCAGUCCAGCCUCCUGAAGCUUAAGAAGGACUGAUUGGAGAUCGUUGAAGUGCUGAGCCACUGAUGGUGAAUAGAUGAUAAUAUCGUCAAUGUAGACAAAGCAUAUUUUUCCUCUCAAUUUUCCCAGUACAGUCUCCAUUAGCCUCUGGAAUGUGGCGGGGGCAUUUUUCAGACCAAAAGGCAUUACAUUAAAGUGGUACAGUCCUGAAGGUGUAAUAAAUGCAGUUUUAUGCUUACUUUGGGCUUCCAUGGCCACCUGCCAGUAGCCACUAUUUAGGUCGAUGGUUGUGAAGAUUGCUGAACCGGAGAGUGAUUCGAGUAUCUCAGUUAUAUUUGGAAUUGGGCGAUGCCCAGCCAGAGUGUGAUGGUUCCACAAUUCCUGCUUUCACCAUUUCUUCAAGCUGCUCUUUUACAACAAACUGCUUGGCAGGUGACAUGCGAUGCCGCUAUGAAUGCAGGUUGGGGUGGAGGAAUAGAACUUAAUAGUGAGAGGGAUGGGUUAAGUGUCCUCGGAGGCUGCUCUGGUUGCUGGCCUGAAGGGCUAGGUAUGCAGUAAGGAACUUCAGGUACACUGGCAUUACCAGGUUGAAAAGGAUACUCCUCUUGUGGAGUAAUCUUGAAUGAAUAUUUUCUAUCAAUGACAUUUAUUUGUAAGCCACUGAAGUAAAUGAAAUCCAACCCGAGAAUCACAGCGUAUGCAAGUGCUUGGGGGGACAGGAUAGCAACAGGUAUAGUAAAAGUUUGGUCAUGCAUAUUGAUUUGCAAUUGAACCCAUCCUAAUGGGACUUCUGCUUCACCAUUUGCUAGGUACAGUGGACCAAGUGACCAAGGCUUGAGUUCUCCUGGCAAGAAGAGCUUUCUCCACAGGCUUUCGUGGAUCAUGGUAUAGCUUGCACCUGUAUCUAGAAUGGCCUUUCCAUACCAGCUGCCAAUACUAACUGGAACGAUAAGCUGUUGAGGAAUGAUAGCAGGAGGGACAGGGGCUGGUUUAGAGGGUGUUUUCCGUAAAUUCUUAGAAUUUGAUGUUUGGUUUGUUGUGGCCGUGAUAAAAUUGUUUGUGGCUUGACCUCCAGGUUUAUGAGGCUGAAACGGGCGUGGAUUGGACUGGUGUUGUUUUGCGGAUUGGUUUGUGGUUA